AUAUAAUGGUGUACACCAUCACGUAUACUAUUAAAUUAACCAUAAUGGUGUAUACCAUUAAAUGAAAGUAAUGAUUAUACAUUUUUACUUAUGUACACUAACAUUUGUACACUUUUAUGUACACUAAUCUCAUAUUAUUAUUAUUUAAACUUUGUUUUGUAUAUUAUCACUUGACAAAAAUGGUUUUAUCUUUUGAAUAUGAGGUGUACACAAUAGGUGAAGGUGUACGAUAUUAUAGACGGUGUAGAAGGUGAUUUAUGGUUUGAUUUAUUAUCUCAUUAUUGCAUGUAUACUAUUAAUAUCAUGUACACCAUAUUUUACAUUUUCGUACACCAUCUUAUUAUGUAGUUGUACAUCGUUGUAUAUUAUCGUUUGUACAUCACUUUGUACACUGUCUAUACCGUAUACCACUUCUUAGAACAAUAUUAUACAUUAUCGUUGUACACUAUUAUUUGUACACCAUUUUUUACAAUAUAGCAAAAUAUAGCAAAAUUAUUAUCAAAAUAAAAGUAUU
rnacentral:sRNA from 1 species